rnacentral:rRNA from 1 species
UACGUAGGGUGCGAGCGUUAAUCGGAAUUACUGGGCGUAAAGCGUGCGCAGGCGGUUUGUUAAGUCUGUUGUGAAAUCCCCGAGCUCAACUUGGGAAUUGCAAUGGAUACUGGCAGGCUGGAGUAUGGUAGAGGAAGGUGGAAUUCCCGGUGUAGCAGUGAAAUGCGUAGAGAUCGGGAGGAACACCAGUGGCGAAGGCGGGUUACUGGGCUGAUACUGACGCUGAUGCGCGAAAGCCAGGGGAGCAAACGGG